GCCUUCAGGCUCUCCAACCCACUGUGAACAUACCUACGUUCCCUCGGCGGGCUCAGCGCGCGGCGGCCUCAGGGCCCCGCGCGUCCGCCGGGGGCCCCCUAAACUCGUUUUCCACGUUCGUGUAUCUCUGAGGGGCGAGAGCCCGCAAAACAAAAUGAAUCAAAACUUUCAACAACGGAUCUCUUGGCUCUGGCAUCGAUGAAGAACGCAGCGAAAUGCGAUAAGUAAUGUGAAUUGCAGAAUUCAGUGAAUCAUCGAAUCUUUGAACGCACAUUGCGCCCGCCAGCACUCUGGCGGGCAUGCCUGUCCGAGCGUCAUUUCAACCCUCAGGCGCCCUUCCCCCCCGGGGGCCUGGAGCCUGGUGUUGGGGCUCGGGGGCCGCUCCGGCGGACCCCGUCCCCUAAAUUCAGUGGCGGUCGCGCCGCAGCCUCCCCUGCGUAGUAGCACACCUCGCACCGGAGAGCGGCUCGGCCACGCCGUGAAACCCCCGACUUCUUCAAGUUUGACCUCGGAUCAGGUAGGAAUACCCGCUGAACUUAAGCAUAUCAAUAAGCGGAGGAAAAGAAACCAACAGGGAUUGCCUCAGUAACGGCGAGUGAAGCGGCAACAGCUCAAAUUUGAAAUCUGGCCGCAAGGCCCGAGUUGUAAUUUGCAGAGGAUGCUUUUGGCGAGGUGCCUUCCGAGUUCCCUGGAACGGGACGCCAUAGAGGGUGAGAGCCCCGUACGGUCGUGCCACCGAGCCUCUGUAAAGCUCCUUCGACGAGUCGAGUAGUUUGGGAAUGCUGCUCUAAAUGGGAGGUGUACGUCUUCUAAAGCUAAAUACCGGCCAGAGACCGAUAGCGCACAAGUAGAGUGAUCGAAAGAUGAAAAGCACUUUGAAAAGAGGGUUAAAAAGUACGUGAAAUUGUUGAAAGGGAAGCAUUCAUGACCAGACUUGGGCUUGGUUGAACAUCCGGCGUUCUCGCCGGUGCACUCUGCCAGCUCAGGCCAGCAUCAGUUUGCCCCGGGGGACAAAGGCGGCGGGAAUGUGGCUCCCCACGGGGAGUGUUAUAGCCCGCCGCGCAAUGCCCUGGGGGGGACUGAGGUCGC
rnacentral:rRNA from 1 species